ACAGGAUGUCUCGGAUUGAGCCGGGACAAGAUAUGGACUUCGAAGAGUGAACUAUCGACACGUGUUAUCUCGCGAAUCCUUAUCUAUCCGGGAGUGUUGCAAACGCGUUUAGCGGAAGAGAAACUGUUGGAAAAACUUGGAAAGAAAACUGGAGAUUUUCCUACCGGUGCUUCUCAAUCCUCUAUCCCGUGGUCGACCGUCGACGACGGUCUCCGAAACGAUGUAGUCUGACAAAGCUAAGUACGGCCGUCCGACGCAAACCACGAAAUUUUUCUUCGGGUGACCAACGUAAAUCAAUGACCACGAACCGCCUAACACCGACGAUAACUCACAGCCCGUGCUAACAACGUUAACUCGCCGAGACUCGUCUCUCUCGCCGAUGAAAGCCAGAUCUCGCGGGCUACUGUCGGCCGCGUGUCUUACUGACUGAGCACCUACCUUGAUAGUGAACAUAAUCUCUCUGUCACACGGACACCGGCGAUGAAGCGGUUAGGAUGCAGAUGGGUUGGUACUUGUGCUUCUUCGUCAGAUGCUUCGGCUCUUUAUAUACACGACCGUAGCAACGUGGUACAGUGAAAGGGGUCAUCCCUGCCCUCUUCACAAUGCACUUCAUCUGACCAGUGCAUCUUCGGAAAAAUGCUCUCGGAUGAGUCGUGAAUAGAUCAUCAUCGGGCGGCAGAUGGACGUCAAGGUGGACCCGCUUUUUCGGCCAAUCGGUCGUUCGUCACCCGGAAAUCACUUGGACCGACACGAAAUCUAGCCAUUCUAUGGAGAGGGACCAAAGCCUAGCUUCGUGUGUAGGUGGCUUCCGAUUAUGGUUCGCGCGACGAGUUUCCUAAAAUAGCUUUCGGCUGGGGAUACAAUUAAUAUGCUUGAGAAAUUUAAAGAAUAAGAACAGUCAUGAUUCAAUUUGAAACUAAUAGCUCAAAGAUAAAUAUUGAAAAUCAUACAGUGGAAGUUAUUAUACCUAGCGACAUCUACACAGACUUAAUAGACAUCGCAGCUGAAGUAAAUGAACGUGAUCCAACGCGAUCACGUAUAAAAUUUACGAUUAAAUUCACAGCGUAAACGUAAAAGAUAAUUGUAAUAUACAGAAUUUGAAAUUAUAAAAUAUACAUAUAAUUAUGUUAGAACAAACAAGGCAAGCUUUAGCUACUGGUAGAGUAAUUUUAGCCAGUAGUUCUCCCAGAAGACAUGAAAUAAUAAAACAAUUGGGUUUAAAAAAUACAGAGGUAGUACCUUCGUUAUAUGAUGAGAAUCUAGAUAAAUCUACAUACACAAAUUAUGGAAAGUAUGUUGAAGAUAUAGCAAAGUAUAAAGUAUUAGAAGUAUAUAACAGAUUAAAAGAAGAUUCUAAAUCACCUGUUUUGAUAAUUGGUGCAGACACUAUGGUUGCGAUGGAUAAUAUUAUUUAUGGGAAACCAAAAAAUAAGUCACAAGCAUUUGAAAUGUUGUCAAGUCUAGCGAAUAGAGAACAUGUAGUUUAUUCAGGAGUAUGUUUAAGAACACAGAAGAAAGAAAUAAACUUUUAUGAAUCUACAAAAGUAAAGUUUGGUGAUAUAUCAGCAGAACAAAUAGAAGCAUAUAUAAACUCAGGAGAACCUUUCGAUAAAGCUGGAGGAUAUGGUGCGCAAGGUCUUGGUGGAUGUCUUAUUGAAAAAAUUGAUGGUGAUUUUUAUACUGUAAUGGGCAUGCCAUUAUAUUCAAUCACAAAACGAUUAAAUGAACUUUUCUCAAAUAGCUAAUACCUAACAUUGUUAAUAAAUGCUUACAAUAAAUAUUAUAGGAUAAUAAAUUCUAUAAUGACAUUUAG